rnacentral:rRNA from 1 species
UACGUAGGCAGCGAGCGUUGUUCGGAAUUACUGGGCGUAAAGAGUGUGUAGGCGGUGCUCUAAGUUCGGUGUGAAAUCUCCUGGCUCAACUGGGAGGGUGCGCCGGAAACUGGAGUGCUUGAGCGUGGGAGAGGAAAGCGGAAUUCCUGGUGUAGCGGUGAAAUGCGUAGAUAUCAGGAGGAACACCUGUGGUGUAGACGGCUUUCUGGGCCCUACCUGACGCUGAGACGCGAAAGCGUGGGGAGCGAACCGG